UCUACGUCUAUGCGUAACGAGGGCGCGGGUAGGGUGACCGCCGGGGACUCUCCCCGCCAGACACGCCCGGGAGACGGCAGAAGAGCAGCAGCUGCGCUCGGUUCACGUGCGUCUGCUGCGCUCGGUCUCUCUCGCGCGUCUGAGCCUGCCACAGAAAGUAACUCCGGCCGCAGCGCCUGCUCGUCCCACCCCACCCCCGACCCUCUGCGCUGCCAGGCGAAGCCGUGCCGCGCUCUCACCGCCAUUUGCAAACAAAAGUUUUAAAUUAAUGAUAAACCUGGGAUCGGCGGAAGGGGGGGGGGGGCGGAGGCCAACGAGGGAAAGUUAAAAUGGCUGGCGAUCCUUCAAAUAACCCUGGCCGUCUCGCCCACGUACGUGACGGAGUCCCAGCUUUUUGCUUGCUGGCGCUGAGCCGCUGGAGACCUACCGCACUUAUGCGAGGGGGAAACUCCGCGGCAAAAGGGGAGGGGAAGAGAAGCGCCCGGCUCGCUGUCGUCCGCGCCAUUUUAGAGAGACACAGGAGCGAGGGUUUCCGCUGCAGCUGCCAGAGACAACAAGCAGCAGCCUAGCCUGAGCUGCGCAGGAGGAGGAGAAGUGAUAGAUACAGCCGGCCUGGCAGAAAUGUGCAUUUCAGAGCAACAGCUUUGAGAGGCUGAUUGAUUAGGAGCAGCCCCCUCCCCCCCGACAGACACAACCCAUCACGGAGAGGAGGCAGUUUGAAGGCGAUUCUCUCCGGAGAGUAAAGCAGCUCCUCAUUAUACAGCAAAUGGCUGGCGCGCCGACAGCGAGAUAUUAAACUUGGUCCUCUGUCUAACGUUUUAUCUAGCUUAACUAGCCUGAGAUCCUUCUGCUCCCCCAGGACUCUGUCUAUGCAACAAGGUGGGGGCUGCGGGGGAGGGGCUCAGCUGCACUGUCGUAGGCACAAAUAUACAGUUAUAUUCAGCGAUCAGUUUAGGAAACGCGCUUGGGAAGUUAGAGCGGGGUAUAAACAAACCAGUCGGCGUAUGGUUAGCAAAUACGUACGCGCCUCAAAAUGUAUAUACUGUUUACAAUGCUAAUUUUUCCCCCGCAUGGAAAAUACUUUCGACUACUUCUGAAAAGCACUGAACAUUUUCGAAAACAGUUAUAAACAAGGAGCCACUCUCACAUCCAUAUAAACCACUGGUCCCAAACCUCACAUCAUCUUCACCGGGAAGUUUAAAGACAGUUAUCGUACAGCUUGCAGACUCUACAGCAAUCGUGGGUGGAUUGAAGAUCCCUGGUGGUACCUAUCCAGAAUUAUAAGCUAUCAUAUGGAAGAUGUUUGUGCCACAGCAGCAGCAGAUCUUCUAGUGAAAAUGAGUUUGUUGCUGUCUUAUAAUGCCAUUAGAAAAAAAAUUAUGAAUUAAAAGCAAUACUGAGAGUCUACCUGUCAGUCUAUAAUGCAUGUCCCUGUGCCUAUAUGCUACAGUAUUUAACACACACACACACACACACACACAGUUGAGGUUCAACUAAACAAAUGAAACUGAAUGAAUUUAAUUCUUCCCUCCUUCCUUUUGCGUUCACAAAAGAAACUCCACAUAAGUAAUGGUUUUGUUUGGAUAUUAGUUUUAACACAAGGCAUGAACCUAGCUGUAAUUUUAAUAUUUUCUCAUAACUAUAUAGGCAAAAUAUCUAUAAGGAUUACAGGCAGUCCCCGGGUUACAUG